rnacentral:rRNA from 1 species
CCUUUCCUACGGGAGGCAGCAGUGAGGAAUAUUGGUCAAUGGCCGGAAGGCUGAACCAGCCACGUCGCGUGAGGGACGACUGCCCUAUGGGUUGUAAACCUCUUUUAUAAGGGAAGAAUAAAUGCUACGUGUAGCAUGAUGCCUGUACCUUAUGAAUAAGCAUCGGCUAACUCCGUGCCAGCAGCCGCGGUAAUACGGAGGAUGCGAGCGUUAUCCGGAUUUAUUGGGUUUAAAGGGUGCGCAGGCGGGCUGUUAAGCCGGCGGUAAAAAUUCAGGGCUCAACCCUGGCGAGCCGUCGG